AGUUCUGGGCUGCAGUGAGCUAUGCCAAGUGAGCAUCUGCACUAGGGCUGGCAUCAGUAUGGUGAGCCCCGAGGAGCUAGGGGACACCAAGUUGACUACGAAGGGUGAACUGGCCCAGGUCGGAGAUGGAGCAGGUCAAAGCUCCCAUACUGGUCAGUAGUGGGAUCGCACCUGUGAAUAGCCACUGCAAAACAG
rnacentral:SRP_RNA from 1 species